rfam:Gaeumannomyces graminis var. tritici R3-111a-1 unplaced genomic scaffold supercont2.3, whole genome shotgun sequence.
GGGCGAAUGGUUUAGGGGUAUAACGUUCGCUUCGCAUUGUAGAAUCAUCUGCAGCGGCAUUGCGAAAGGUCCGGGGUUCGAUUCCCUGUUUGUCCA